AUGAACGCUGGCGGCGUGCUUAACACAUGCAAGUCGAACGAAGCACUUAUCUUUGAUUCUUCGGAUGAAGAGGUUUGUGACUGAGUGGCGGACGGGUGAGUAACGCGUGGGUAACCUGCCUCAUACAGGGGGAUAACAGUUAGAAAUGACUGCUAAUACCGCAUAAGACCACGGAGCCGCAUGGCUCCGUGGGAAAAACUCCGGUGGUAUGAGAUGGACCCGCGUCUGAUUAGGUAGUUGGUGGGGUAACGGCCUACCAAGCCAACGAUCAGUAGCCGACCUGAGAGGGUGACCGGCCACAUUGGGACUGAGACACGGCCCAAACUCCUACGGGAGGCAGCAGUGGGGAAUAUUGCACAAUGGGGGAAACCCUGAUGCAGCGACGCCGCGUGAGCGAAGAAGUAUUUCGGUAUGUAAAGCUCUAUCAGCAGGGAAGAAAAUGACGGUACCUGACUAAGAAGCACCGGCUAAAUACGUGCCAGCAGCCGCGGUAAUACGUAUGGUGCAAGCGUUAUCCGGAUUUACUGGGUGUAAAGGGAGCGUAGACGGCUGUGUAAGUCUGAAGUGAAAGCCCGGGGCUCAACCCCGGGACUGCUUUGGAAACUAUGCAGCUAGAGUGUCGGAGAGGUAAGUGGAAUUCCCAGUGUAGCGGUGAAAUGCGUAGAUAUUGGGAGGAACACCAGUGGCGAAGGCGGCUUACUGGACGAUGACUGACGUUGAGGCUCGAAAGCGUGGGGAGCAAACAGGAUUAGAUACCCUGGUAGUCCACGCUGUAAACGAUCAAUACUAGGUGUGCGGGGACUGACCCCCUGCGUGCCGCAGUUAACACAAUAAGUAUUGCACCUGGGGAGUACGAUCGCAAGGUUGAAACUCAAAGGAAUUGACGGGGGCCCGCACAAGCAGCGGAGCAUGUGGCUUAAUUCGAAGCAACGCGAAGAACCUUACCAGGGCUUGACAUAUGGGUGAAGCGGGGGAGACCACGUGGCCGAGAGGAGCCCAUACAGGUGGUGCAUGGCUGUCGUCAGCUCGUGUCGUGAGAUGUUGGGUUAAGUCCCGCAACGAGCGCAACCCUUAUCUUCAGUAGCCAGCAAUUCGGAUGGGCACUCUGGAGAGACUGCCAGGGAUAACCUGGAGGAAGGUGGGGAUGACGUCAAAUCAUCAUGCCCCUUAUGAGCAGGGCUACACACGUGCUACAAUGGCGUAAACAAAGGGAAGCGAGCCUGCGAGGGUAAGCAAAUCUCAAAAAUAACGUCUCAGUUCGGAUUGUAGUCUGCAACUCGACUACAUGAAGCUGGAAUCGCUAGUAAUCGCGAAUCAGCAUGUCGCGGUGAAUACGUUCCCGGGUCUUGUACACACCGCCCGUCACACCAUGGGAGUUGGUAACGCCCGAAGUCAGUGACCCAACCGUAAGGAGGGAGCUGCCGAAGGUGGGACCGAUAACUGGGGUG
rnacentral:rRNA from 1 species